AUUGAACGCUGGCGGCAUGCCUUACACAUGCAAGUCGAACGGCAGCACGGGUGCUUGCACCUGGUGGCGAGUGGCGAACGGGUGAGUAAUACAUCGGAACAUGUCCUGUAGUGGGGGAUAGCCCGGCGAAAGCCGGAUUAAUACCGCAUACGAUCUACGGAUGAAAGCGGGGGACCUUCGGGCCUCGCGCUAUAGGGUUGGCCGAUGGCUGAUUAGCUAGUUGGUGGGGUAAAGGCCUACCAAGGCGACGAUCAGUAGCUGGUCUGAGAGGACGACCAGCCACACUGGGACUGAGACACGGCCCAGACUCCUACGGGAGGCAGCAGUGGGGAAUUUUGGACAAUGGGCGAAAGCCUGAUCCAGCAAUGCCGCGUGUGUGAAGAAAGCCUUCGGGUUGUAAAGCACUUUUGUCCGGAAAGAAAUCCUUGGCUCUAAUACAGUCGGGGGAUGACGGUACCGGAAGAAUAAGCACCGGCUAACUACGUGCCAGCCGCCG
rnacentral:rRNA from 1 species